UGGUGGUCCAGUGGCUAAGACUCUGCGCUCCCAAAGCAGAGGGCCCAGGUUUCAUUCCUGGUCA
rnacentral:tRNA from 1 species